GUGGGGAAUAUUGGACAAUGGGCGAAAGCCUGAUCCAGCCAUGCCGCGUGUGUGAAGAAGGUCUUCGGAUUGUAAAGCACUUUAAGUUGGGAGGAAGGGCAGUAAGUUAAUACCUUGCUGUUUUGACGUUACCGACAGAAUAAGCACCGGCUAACUUCGUGCCAGCAGCCGCGGUAAUACGAAGGGUGCAAGCGUUAAUCGGAAUUACUGGGCGUAAAGCGCGCGUAGGUGGUUUUGUAAGUUGGAGGUGAAAUCCCCGGGCUCAACCUGGGAACUGCCUCCAAAACUGCAUGACUAGAGUACGGUAGAGGGUAGUGUAAUUUCCUGUGUAGCGGUGAAAUGCGAAGAUAUAGGAAGGAACACCAGUGGCGAAGGCGACUACCUGGACUGAUACUGACACUGAGGUGCGAAAGCGUGGGGAGCAAACAGGAUUAGAAACCCGAGUAGUCC
rnacentral:rRNA from 1 species